CGGAGGUGGCAAGCGUUACUCGGAAUUAUUGGGUGUAAAGGGCAAGUAGGCGGUCUAAUAAGUGGGUGGUGAAAUACUCUGGCUCAAUCAGAGAACUGCCUUCCAAACUGUUAGACUUGAGUGUGACAGGGGGAAAUGGAAUUCUAGGUGUAAGGGUGAAAUCUGUAGAUAUCUAGAAGAACACCAGCGGCGAAGGCGAUUUCCUGGGUCACAACUGACGCUAAAUUGCGAAAGCUAGGGGAGCAAACAGAAUUAGAUACUCUGGUAGUCCUAGCCGUAAAUGAUGAGCACUAGAUGUCAGCUCCUUUAGGAGUUGGUGUCGCAGCUAACGCAUUAAGUGCUCCACCUGGGGACUACGGUCGCAAGGCUA
rnacentral:rRNA from 1 species